UGGGGAAUUUUGCACAAUGGGGGAAACCCUGAUGCAGCGACGCCGCGUGAUUUAAAAGGCCUUCGGGUUGUAAAAAUCUUUUCUAUGGGAAGAAAAUGACAGUACCAUAGGAAUAAGGACCGGCUAAUUACGUGCCAGCAGCCGCGGUAAUACGUAAGGUCCGAGCGUUGUCCGGAAUCAUUGGGCGUAAAGGGUACGUAGGCGGGUAAGCAAGUUAGAAGUGAAAUCCUAUAGCUCAACUAUAGUAAGCUUUUAAAACUGCUCAUCUUGAGGUAUGGAAGGGAAAGUGGAAUUCCUAGUGUAGCGGUGAAAUGCGCAGAUAUUAGGAGGAAUACCGGUGGCGAAGGCGACUUUCUGGCCAUAACCUGACGCUGAGGUACGAAAGCGUGGGUAGCAAACAGG
rnacentral:rRNA from 1 species